rnacentral:lncRNA from 1 species
CCAAAUCAACAAAUCAAUGGCACACACAAGAAGCUUUUUGCUGGUGCUCCUCCUCUUUGUUCUGAUGUUUCAAGCACCAUCAUCUUCAGAAGCCAUCAGAAAUUAUAAAUUCAUCAUGAGCAAGGACACAAAGAAAGAGGGACCACUACCUUAUUUGAAGACUUCUUUGGUCACUGGUGUCCUUCCUCAGGGUCACUACCCUACACUCCCUUCUUCUCUUGUUGAUUACAAAACCCACAAACCCAAAAUGCUCAUCAGUGAAAAUCAUCUUCACUCUCAUCAAUCUCUCAAAUUGGUUCGCAUUUUAGAGUCUGUGCCAAGUCCUGGAGCUGGCCACUGAAUCUUUAUCUUAAUUUAUAUCCCUUAAUUUCCAAAAUGAUUCUUCCAAUUGCAUGUAUCAAUGAUUCUUCCACUACAUUUUACUUAUUGAAUAAUAUUGAAAUUUUAAUUAGAUCGGAC